GGACAAAAGGUCCACGAGCGCCACUUACUGCCCACGCGAGGUAUUUUAUUCUGCGCGCGCGUGUAGACACUCUCGCGCGCGCGAUUUUGCUCUGCGCGCGCGCGCAAACGCUGCCACGCGCGCGCAAACACCGUCUCACGCGCGAGAGGUGACAUGAAUUUCCUCACGCGCGCGAGCAGAAAUAUGAAUAUUUAAAUAAUCUCCUCCCACUGAUUAGCAUAACCAACGAGGCGGAAGUUUGUUUAGUCUGAAAUAAUCAGACACAGAUCUCAAGAGCAAUUGUUGAUAUCGUUGCUACAGUAACUGCAGCUGGCGUUUACUGACGAGUGGAAUGACUGAAGGUUGCACCUCUAUUGCUUACCCAUUUUUAUGAAAACAUUGUUUUUUAAUUGUUUAUUUCAUGGGCGAACUUGUUGAGAUUCGCAGACAGCAGAUGAGGAAUAAAUUGCUGAUCGGCGGCCCUUGUACGGAGGUUGUCACACACAGCCAACAAAACCACAUGGGCAACAUGGAAGAGGAAAAAUCAGGCAUACUGCAUAUCGGCAGUUGGUGAGAUGGCGUGGGAGUUCGUAGGCUAUGUUUGGGUUCCACUGCAAUCCUGUGCCGUCACAAAGAUCUGGCAGAUCUUUAAAUCCACACAUCGUACAGGUUUCCAGGAUGUGAUUUAUUUGUGGCAAAUAAAAGACAGUACACCUGAAUCA